AUGUACCUCGCGUACACCGCGGUUCCUGUGCGCUGUCCACGCACACCUAACGACUGCUCGCCAGGUUUUGGUUAGCC
rnacentral:sRNA from 7 species